ACGCCGAGCUCCAGACGCAGCUCGAUAACUGCCCCGAGUCAGUGCGGGAACAGUUACAGGAGCAGCUGAGAAGGGAGGCAGAGGCCCUGGAGACUGAGACAAAGCUCUUUGAGGACUUGGAGUUCCAGCAGUUGGAGCGGGAGAGCCGCGUGGAGGAGGAGCGCGAGCUGGCCGGCCAGGGGCUGCUCCGGAGCAAGGCUGAGCUGCUCCGCAGCAUCGCCAAGAGGAAGGAGCGCCUGGCCAUCCUGGACAGUCAGGCUGGGCAGAUCCGGGCUCAGGCCGUGCAGGAGUCAGAACGCCUGGCCCGGGACAAGAAUGCCUCCUUACAGCUGCUGCAAAAGGAGAAGGAGAAGCUGACUGUGCUGGAAAGGAGAUACCACUCACUCACAGGGGGCAGGCCUUUCCCGAAGACCACAUCGACCCUCAAAGAGGUAUCAUGAUUGGAUUAGCCGCAGCUUCAGGCCCAAGGGGUGUCCUGGGAGGCUCUGAGUAACACAUGGCACUUUCACCCCAGUAGAUGAGGUUGUGUGGGGGC
rnacentral:sRNA from 1 species